GGUUUGUGACUCAGUGGUACAGCACUCACCUAGCACGUGUGAGGCCCUGGUUCAAUCCUCAGCACCA
rnacentral:tRNA from 1 species